GCACCCGUAGCUCAGUUGGAUAGAGCGUCGGACUACGAAUCCGAAGGUCGCAGGUUCAAGUCCUGCCGGGUGCACCA
rnacentral:tRNA from 3 species